CAGUAGCCGCGGUAAUACGAAGGGGGCUAGCGUUGCUCGGAAUGACUGGGCGUAAAGGGUGCGUAGGCGGUUUGGCAAGUCUUGUGUGAAAUCCCCGGGCUUAACCUGGGAACUGCAUUUGUGACUGGCGAGCUAGAGUAUGGCAGAGGGGGGUAGAAUUCCACGUGUAGCAGUGAAAUGCGUAGAGAUGUGGAGGAAUACCGAUGGCGAAGGCAGCCCACUGGGCCAAUACUGACGCUCAUGCACGAAAGCUAGGGGAGCAAACAGGAUUAGAUACCCCCGUAGUCCCUGUCUCUUAUAC
rnacentral:rRNA from 1 species